rnacentral:rRNA from 1 species
GCGGCGGACGGGUGAGUAAUGUCUGGGGAUCUGCCUGAUGGAGGGGGAUAACUACUGGAAACGGUAGCUAAUACCGCAUGACGUCGCAAGACCAAAGUGGGGGACCUUCGGGCCUCACGCCAUCGGAUGAACCCAGAUGGGAUUAGCUGGUAGGUGGGGUAACGGCUCACCUAGGCGACGAUCCCUAGCUGGUCUGAGAGGAUGACCAGCCACACUGGAACUGAGACACGGUCCAGACUCCUACGGGAGGCAGCAGUGGGGAAUAUUGCACAAUGGGGGAAACCCUGAUGCAGCCAUGCCGCGUGUGUGAAGAAGGCCUUC